CGACUAAUAAUACUUUUUGGGUAC
rnacentral:siRNA from 1 species